AUUGAACGCUGGCGGCAGGCUUAACACAUGCAAGUCGAGCGAGAGGCGGACGGGUGCGUAAUGUCUGGGAAACUGCCUGAUGGAGGGGGAUAACUACUGGAAACGGUAGCUAAUACCGCAUACCAUCAGAUGUGCCCAUAUGGGAUUAGCUAGUAGGUGGGGUAAUGGCUCACCUAGGCAACGAUCCCUAGCUGGUCUGAGAGGAUGACCAGCCACACUGGAACUGAGCCACGGUCCAGAGUCCUACGGGAGGCAGCAGUGGGGAAUAUGGCACAAUGGGCGCAAGCCUGCUGCAGCCAUGCCGCGUGUGUGAAGAAGGCCUUCGGGUUGUAAAGCACUGUCAGCGAGGGGGCGUUACUCGCAGAAGAAGCACCGGCUAACGCCGUGCCAGCCGCCGCGGUAAUUC
rnacentral:rRNA from 1 species